UAUUAUCUACUAUUUAGGCCUAAGGGGCCCUCACAUCUAUAUCACAAACAUACGAGUGCACAUUUUUAAGAUAGGUACAUGAAUUAAGAACACAUUAAACUAAUAUAAACAUGUUGUACACACAAUGGAGUGAUCGGAUAACAUAGACUGAGGAAUCUAUCCAUAUUAGUCAUAGAUUUAAAGUGAAUAAAUUAUAGUAUGUAGGAUAGUG
rnacentral:lncRNA from 1 species